UGAGCCGAAGUCGGAUGCUUAACCGACUGAGCCACCCAGGCACCCCUCAGAGUUUGCUCUUAAACAAACUUUCCUACUAGCACCGUUCAACCACUGUCUGGUCUGUCCUUGAAUUCUUUAUGGGGACGAGACCAGAGCGUGUGGUGUCGUCCAGGGGUCUCCACGGUCCACCGGGCAACACUUACACUCCGGCUCCCGCGCCCUCUCCCCGAUCCUCCAUUAUCCGAUAACCAUGGGGGUGCUGGUCAGAGCGCACAAACUUGCAGUCUUGAGAUGAACAAGUUCUGGAGGCCUCACAGAGCAGGGGGGCUAUAGCUAAUGAUAUUGUAUCACAGGGGCGCCUGGGUGGCUCAGUCAGUUAAGAGUCCGACUUUGGCUCAGGUCAUGAUCUCAUAGAUCGUGGGUUUGAGCCUCCCAGCUGGGUUUGGGUCUCCCAGCUGUCUGUGCUGACAGCUCGGAGCCUGGAGCGGGCUUCGGGUUCUGUGUCUCCCUCUCUCUGCCCCUCCUCCACUCAACUUCUGUCUCUCAACAAUAAAUGAACACUAAAAAAAUUUUAAUGUAUUGGAAAACAGUGAAGGGCUGAACAUACAAAGGCCAGAUCACCUGCGACCAGAUCACAACAGAACCCCUACAGCCAUCAGCUUCGACCAUGCCCACCCAGGACCUGCUUUCAGCUCGGGACCAGCAGCCCAGUCUGCUCCCCAGACCAGUACACAGGUGCCCCUCCGGCUGACCGCGCUGGCGUCCGAGUACCCACACCUUGCACUGGCAGCUCUCCAUCCCUGCCUGCCUCUGAGGCUCUGCUGAACCAGCGACGGGGCUGCACCCCGCCAAGAUCACCCCGCAGCCUUCACUUGCUCUGUCUGGGUGGUCCCCUCUCCACCACACAAGGAGUAAGAUGGACGCCUCAGCCUGUGAUCCGUCCCACCACCCUCAUCAAGGACCUCGAAAGCGGCUGGUAAGAAAUGGGGGUGGUGGGCCCUGGAGGCCAGUGGGGUGACCCUGAGUGUGCUGCACCUGCAAACCACCUGGGGAGAUUUCGGAACUCCAGGGCCCAGCUCGAACCCAGACUCAGUAGAUGGUCGGCUCUCCGGGAGGGCUGGGCCCACAGCACGCGGGAGGGCAAGGGUCAAAGGGUAGGGGUCGGCAUGCUGCAGUCACCUGGCAGUUUUAAAAACUUCUGCACAUCCGUUCACUCCCAGAGAUCCUGAUCAGUCUGGGAUGAGACCCUGAUGGUCUCAGAUUGAAAGGCGCCUACACAGCAGAAUCACCUGGGGGGGCUUCCCAAACAACCUUCGGUAUCUGGGCUCCACUCUCGACGACUUGGGUUUCAUGCAGGGCAGCGGCCCUCAAACCCAGGCUGCACCCAGCAGCCUUCCUGGAGGUGGGGCCCGGUGCCCCCAACACUGAGACCCAGAGGACCCCAUGACCCGGGACCCCCAGGAUCCCUGACAUCCUUUCGGGAUCGCUGUUAGCUCACAACGCUUUCCUUUACAACACCCAGAUGUAAUCCGCCUCUGCCUACUUCACACCCCACUUUCUCAAGGGUUUCUCAGAGCCCUCGGCAGAGGGGAGCCCCACCCCUGCUCUUCCCGCCUCCUCUGGCAUCCUCUCUGAGUAAAUUUUCUGGCUGUGACAAUAUGGUUGCUUAUCUUGAAAAAUAAGUUUCGGUUUACACGUAAUGGGUUUAUUAUGUGUUUUUUUUUUAAUUAGUAAAUAUUUGAAGAUUUCUCUUCAUUGCUAACAUGGUAACUGUUUGGCAGAUGCAACUCUCAGAUCACCAGUUCAGGCUCUACCCCUUGCCAGAGCUGUAACCUGUCACCAAAUGCCCAGCUAAAGGGCAUAAUUAACGCCUACUCACAGGGGAACCGAGAGGCUUAACGCAAAGCGGGUUGUUAAGCCCGAGCUAGAACAGGCGCUUAGUACAAGGUUCCUUGCCCCCUCGCCCUCCCGUCAGGGAGCAACCGGUCUGUAGUCACCUGGAUUCUGGGCUCAGGGAUCUGGGUUCGUCGAGCCAGUUCUUCUCUGGCAGUGAUAUCAGGGUAUGAGUCCCUCUCGAAGGCCUCGAUGAGCACCUGGUACUGGGUCUUGCUGAACUUGGUCCUUUUGCGUCUCCGACCUCCCUGGGGCGCUGGGACAGAUUCGCACCCAGAAAGAGGAGGUGUUAGUCUGACCCCACGGUUAGGUCCGUUUUGAGACUCGCUCCCCGUCCAAGUCAGCGUGCAGCCUCCCCAAGACGAGGUGUCUGCCUACAGACACGGGACUCCGGCCCCUCUGAAAAAGCCUCCCAGUCGUCCCGAGCUGCUGCCCCUGGCCGGUGCCCUAGGCGGACAUGCUGGGGACCCUCCCUGAGCUCCCGCACCGACGGCUGCACCUGCUCUCCCCACAUGAGCUGACCCCCCCCCCCCCCCGCCCCCAAUCCCCGGCUGCGGGCUGCGGGCUGUGAGGGCAUCUCGCAGGGCUCGGCCGCUCCGGGAUGGGCACGACUGGGUCUCCCAGCCUCCGACUGGCCACUACCUCUGCUUGUGCCCAAGACACACGAGUGGGGAGAGAGGCCAAAAACCACAAGAUAAGGAGACUUCGUGUGCAAAAGCCCAGCCCAGGGGAUUUCUGUCUGUCAACACGGGUUUUUUUCCCCCGUGACCUGGGGAAGCUUGCUGGUCCCCAACCCCGGGCCGGGCAGAGCGGGCUCCCCUCUGACGGGAUUCAGGUCAACACAGAAUCCGCUGUGGAGAAAAGCCCGCAGAAUACACGGCCCCGGGGGAAGCCGGGCUCCCUUCCCUCCUGUCCUCCUCAGGCCCCACAGUGCCAGCCAGCAGCCCCCACCAGAGGGGACUUGUGGACUGAAAAAUGGUGUCUCCCGUGCUCCUCGAGGGGGCCUUUCCGGGUUUGGUCCGGGGUGUUGGUCUCUCCUCCCAGGUCCCCAAACCAGACGUCACGGUGAGCAACGCCUGAGACCUGCCUGGACCCCACUGCCCGGCCUCUCCGGCCACCACCCCCACCCCCAGGACCCCCCUCUAGGACUCACGGUCUGAAGACAUGACCAAGCUGGAGACUGAAGCAGGUCAGAGGGAUCUCGGUAAGAACUGCCUCCCUCUCUCCCACCCGCCCCAGGUCUUAUAGAAAAGGCCGAGGGUCCCACCCAGUUAAGCCCCUGGUUAGCACUUUGCAAGACCCACCUCCCUUAAUACUAUCUUCUCGGGAAGCGAUGAUCCCAGAGUGCUGCCAGACCACCCAUCCCUCAACUGCUCUGGGCCCUGCAGGGCUGCGAAGGGUGAGCGCACCCGCAUGCGUCCGGGCUUAAGACAGGACUUCAGGCUGCCAAGUGCAGGCUCUGCCGACCACGUGCAUUGCCAGUGGGUGCUGUUUCGAGGGGCUUGGCCACCAGUGAAUUAAGCAGAAGGAAUGUCAGUGAGCACCUGCCGUGCAGCACAAAUACGCGCCCCCUGCCCAGACCCGCGCCCAGAGCAGACCGGGACCCACACUCCUUGCUCAGCUGCCAUGGAACCCUCCACUGCUGCUUCCUCAUCUGUACCCUCCGAAUCGUAACGGGCAAAGUGUGACCACGAAACGAGCUUCUCGUAAGGCAGCUGCCUCUGUGCCUGCCCGGCCCCCAGAAGGUUCGGAUUUAGGUUGGUGCCGUACGUCCGAGCCCCCUUCUCUUGAACCUGGGUGGACGGAUCAAGUCCCAAGGGUUUUAGUAAUUUAGUAGUGUGUAAAUCCACGUAAACAGGACAGCCCGUUGCGACGGUCCCCAAGCUUCAGGUCCCGGGAGAGGCGGAGAAGAGCAGAGGCUGCAGUGUCUUCGGUCGAAGGCUUAUCUCACUUUGGAGAUCAGCAGGGCGGGGCGUUACUUGCAACCCCUUUUAAUGGAUGUCAAGUAUUGCCUUUCAAACUGUGUCGGGUUUUGCUCGGUUUUGUUUCUGGCUGGGUUAAUUUGCAAGUGAAAAGUUCUGGGACGUCCUCGUGAGGUUGACUCAGACGAGCAAAGAAAGAGAAAGAAAUUAUUUUCACCCAAGUCUGUGCUGAACUGAUAGCCGUCAAGUGUCCGAGGGGGCAGCCCUGAGGAGAUGGAGGAGCCGAGAAGCUGCGUGGGACUGUCCUGGGGGCUGCUGAGAGCCACUGGAAAUGCCACGUUCGACUCCCCAGAGAGUCCCGGGAAGCCUGGUCCUCGAGCUGCAGGCCGCGAAGCUCGGGGGCACAGGAGCACUGCCCUCCUGGCCUGCUUCGAGGGCCCAGCUGCUGUCCGCCCCCCGACAGGGAAGAAGCAGGCGACGAGUCCAGAGUGCUUCCAGUCCUAAAAGGCACCCCCGUUCUGGUCAGAAAUGAUCCCCAAAGCUGUGGGUCCUUGAAGGACGUGCGCAGGGUCUCUGAGUGUGCUCGACAUCGGAGAGCCAGCCUGGGAGGAACGGAGCCGCCCGACAGUUACCAACGUCUCUGCUCCUCCCCUGGGGGACGGACACACCAGCUACAAGCUACCUCGGUCCCCCCACGCAGCCCCGUGUUGCCCCAUGCCGCCCUGAAGCCACCACACACCACACACCACACACCACCCCACAAUGAUCCCAAAGCUUCACAUAAGCCACUGCAGCCCUACAGGCCUACGAGGCCCCCCAGCACUCCACACGACCCCCCGCGCCCACUGCCGGCCUUUCCACCCUUGAAAGCUCUCCCUUCUUCUCUGGCCUCCCACGGUCCCAUUGAAGACCUGCUAAGUCUGAGGAGCCCCACCGCCCGUGCAGGGGCGAGUGGAAGAGAGAGGGGGGUCCCGAGGCGCAGGCGUAAGAAGGGCCGGGAUACGUGACCCGAGCAGGUUGGCACAGGAGCAGAAGUUCUAGAAAGGUGUUCCGGGAGUUGGUGGUAGGAAAGGUUGGAUCCAGAGACUGAGGGGGCUGUUCCGCAGAGGGACUCUGGGGUCUGGACCCCCUGCUUGGGGCCAAGCCCUGGCAAAGCCCUGUAGCAAGCGGUCCUCGCCUCUGCUCGCAUCCCCGUUUCUUCCAGAGCAGAGGUCAGGCCCGGGCCCGCGACAGACGCAGCCCUGGAUUCAAGCCAGCCUUGGCCCUGACUGUGGCCAGGCUCCUCCCCUGCCACAGGCCGUGAGGGCGUUUCUGUCCGGCAACCCACACGUGGCGACUCCAAGCUGGGAUGUGCCGUGAGCGGAAGGGAGCCCCGGACAGUGGACACUGAAGCUGCCGGCAGACCUCGCCGCUGUGUGGGCAGAGCUGGGGAGCCAGCCCCGGCCCUGGGACAGCUGCCUGUCUGCGUUUCCACGGCAACGUACGGAGGGAUGCCAAGCCUCCUGCCUUUACAGACAAAUGCUUAUGUCCUCUAUCUUUUUCCCAAAUCACCCCCCAAAACAGGUGACGAUUCUUGACCUCUGCCCCUUCCCCACCUCUCUGGAAGAGAGGGCCCAGGACACCUGCGGAGUUGAUUGCUGCCCAGGUGCACAGGUAGCGCUCCCAGAGGGAGACGCGUUUUGGAGACUGAGGACUGUGCUCUUGGUGGAGAGAGGGCCCGCUCUCCCCUCGCCUUUGUCCAGCGAACUGCCCUGCCUAAGGACAGAGCGUGGCCUUGAUGGGACACUUUGCUGUCUGAGCCUCGGUGUCUGUAACAGUGAAACUCUAAAAGCUUUUGAAAUGCAAACGGACUGGCCCUGGCCCACUUGGAGCACCACCCAAGGAUUUCAUGGCUCCAGGCAGGAGGGAUACACUAGUCCCAAUGUUGGCUGAGCCUUUUCUCCAAGUUUCUAUUCCUAGGAGGUUAUAACUAUGAGUCAGAAAAUUACCAUAAAUUACCCUGGGGCUGGGGCUGGGGGUAGGCUGAAGGCCAGGGGGGUUGGGAAAUCACUUCCCCAAGGGGACCACUCCCACCACUGGCAGAGCCCAGAGCCAACAUUGGAACCUGAACUUGAGAGUCCAGACUUUGGGGGGUGGGGUGCUGCUGGUCAUGAUCAAGCUUCUGUCACUUGAAAACGGCAGCGGUCUGGGGUCAGGACACAGACAACAACACAGAGACACAGUCCCUUCCUCCACAUCCUAAUUUUGUUAGUUCCAUUAGGAAAAUAUGUCAUACAAAUGAAGUUAAAACCCAACAAUAAUCCCAGUUUUUGAAAUGGUAUAAAAUUGGGGCGCCUGA